UUAAAAAUUAAAUAAGUGAACUCUGUGAUCAAAAAUAAUGGGAUAACUGGAAAAUUAUUAAUAUAGUGUGCGACGAAAGUAAUUGCUCAAAUAUUUUAAUUGUUCAUAUAAAAAAAAAGGAAAUGUUGAGAGUGAAAAUAAAUUUUAUGAAAAUUUAAUUCCUAUAUGGAAAUUAAUGUGAACUGUGGCCAUAACCAUUUAGUAACCAAUCCAAAAGAAAAAUUAUUAAAGAAAACUUAAAAAAAAAUAUCAAACCGAUCCUAAAUGGGUAAAAUAAAAGAAAAGUGAAAAUAAAAUUAUUUCUCCAAUUAUAAUAUCUUUUGUUUUAAUUCAAAAUUAAUAAUUUUAUAAAUUUUCUUUUACUUUCAGCUAAUAAAAUUCAAUUGGACCUGGGAUUUGGCCUUGGUUAGCUGCUUCCGUUCAGGAAAGGCUACAAAUUCAGAUGGGACCUGGACCGGAAAACUAAAUAUGAAAUAAUUUGGACCAAAUUAUGAUUCAAAAAGGUGUUGGUAACAAUUCGUAUUUCCUACAGAAAAACAGCGAGACUGAGGAAGAAGCAACACACUGAGGAAAAGAUCCCUGUCAGCGAGAAUAAAAUCGCGUUACUGCUUUCCCGCUCUAUUCCCUGGCGGCCAACUAAUUUUGCGGAAGAAUCUCCCGGGUGAGGAUAGGGUAGAUGGAUAUUUCCUGUCAGUGACGUGUCUAAAUGUCUAAGUGGUUCGAGGAGAAUUACCUAUAUAAGAUUUAGGAAAAUCUUGGGUUAAUUAACCUCGCGACUCACUGUUCCCUAGGCCAGAGCUCUAACCUAACUCGCGCACGCGUGGUUAAGGUUCACACGCGGGAUGGACUUUGCGAUACUUAAGACUUCCUAUUUUUUUAUAUAAAUAUCUCACUAAUCACCUUUUUUUUAUUUUAUAAAUAUUUCUUUUUUUUUUUCUUAU